CAUAGCGACUAUCGUGGCAUAUCAAUAAGCGGAGGAAAAGAAACUAACUAGGAUUCCCUCAGUAACGGCGAGUGAAGCGGGAAGAGCUCAAAUUUGAAAUCUUCAAGGUUCUACCUUGACGAAUUGUAGUUUAAAGAAGUGUUUUCUGUUGGAGUUUUGGUAAAAGUUCUUUGGAAUAGGACAUCAUAGAGGGUGAGAAUCCCGUAUUUGACCAUUAUUUCCAGCUGUGUGAUACACUUUCAAAGAGUCGGAUUGUUUGGGAAUGCAGUCCAAAAUGGGUGGUAAAUUUCAUCUAAAGCUAAAUACUGGCGAGAGACCGAUAGCGAACAAGUACCGUGAGGGAAAGAUGAAAAGGAACUUUGAAAAGGAGAGUUAAACAGUACGUGAAAUUGUCAAAAGGGAAGCGUUUGACACCAGUGUUGUUUUCUCGAAAAUCAAUUAAAAAUGGCGGGAUUUUGUGUUGUAUUGACUUUAUCAGCUUUCUGCACUUUUUUCCUGUCUUUUUUAAUGCACUUUUCGUUUAACAAGUCAACAUCAAUUUCUUUUGUUGUAAAAGAGUCAUUGGAAGGUAGCUUUCUUUUCGGAGAAAGUGUUUAUAGCCUUUGACUUCUGCAAUCGGAGAGAUUGAGGUCUGCAGCGUAGAUCCUUCGGGGUUAGAUACAUUUGUGCUAAGCUAUAGCCUUUCAUAGACAACUUGUUGACUAUGAUCAGUCAUGUAGCUUACUCGCUUAUGCUAUUUUACCUACGCUUAGGAUGUUGAUAGUCACAGCGUGUAC
rnacentral:rRNA from 1 species